rnacentral:misc_RNA from 1 species
AGAGGAACCUGCCUUCACUAUUUUGGAGAACCCUUUACUGGAUGAAAAAGCGGCAAGUCAAGAAGAAAAGAAAGAAGAAAACCUUCAUUUAGGCUGGGGAAAAAGAAAAAGAAAUGCAGGAUCUACUCCCAAACAAGCAAACCAGAAUGGAGCAACAUUAUCAUCUACACCUAAGCGAACAAAACGUAGUGGAGCUAAACUAUCCCCCACCCCUAAACAAUCAAAAACUAAAUUAUCACCCACUCCUAAGCGAACAAGGAGUGAAGCUACAUUAUCAUCCACAGCAAAGCGGAAAACUAGACAUUCUUCUAAACGAUCUGUCCCUAAUGAUGAAGGUGGUGUAUUUAGCACACAGGAAUCAGCAGCUGAUCCGAUUCCAGAGGAUUUUGAUAACUAUCUCAA